AGCACGUAGACCUUUUUGUCUUUAUUGAGCUGAACUGCCAACUCCAACGUGUGCAAAUACAGAUUUAACAGGCAAACGUGGAGCCAACUCCAGGACUGUAAGUGUUUGAAACGGCAGAUCUGUUUGAUGAGCAAAUAAUGCGCGAUCAAUAAAGACUUGUCGAAAUGAAACGAAAGGAGAGCAGCUGUUUGCUGAAUCUACUCUGGUAUAGAUGGUACGCAGACCAAACAACAAGGAAAUGCAGUGCAGGGGUGUCAGGUCCGAGCAGUGUGUGUUAGAAAGAGAAUGCUGGAAUUCUUGACUAACGUGAACUUACCUGGGCUGAGAGAAGGGCAGGCUGAAUGCAAAGGGGGCCCUGCUUGGAGUCACCCCGUGACUUCCUGCCAAGGAAAGAAAGAAUAAUCAGGAGCUGACUGGAGGACUAAGCCAGGGUGUCAAGAUUUGCCAGGCAGCUUUCUGCCAGCCGUGGGCAUGUCCUCCCCCAAGCUGCUGAUCUGCUGGUCAGAUUAGGGGCACAUGCAUAUGGUGGCAGAGGCAGGGAAGAAUGAGCCACAUCAUUUCUGACAUGUGAGCACCAGAUCUGCGAGCAUAUGGCCUGGAAGCCUCUCCAGGAAUUUCACGGGACAUUUCAUGCAAGUUGAGACGGAGGCAUUCAGGAACCUGGAUCCAGAGAGAGAAAAAGAGAAAUUGCAGAAAAUAUUUCCCUUUGAAAUAUUCUCAUCAAAUGUGAUGGAGAAGAGUUAAUAUCUGUAAGGAGCUCACUGGAAUCAUUAAGAAAAAGGUGAAAACUCCAAAAGAAAACUGGAAAAUAACGUGAACUUAUGAUUCAUAAAAGAAGCACAAAUAACCAGUACACUUAAAAUGAAAUUUAUCCUUGCUGUUAAUAAACAAAUGCAAAUUAAAAUA
rnacentral:lncRNA from 1 species